rnacentral:rRNA from 1 species
ACGGGGUGCAGCAGGCGCGAAACCUCUGCAAUGCACGCAAGUGUGACAGGGGGACCCCAAGUGUCCAAGUACUACUUGGACUUUUACGGAGUGUAAAAAGCUCUGAGAAUAAGGGCUGGGCAAGACCGGUGCCAGCCUCCGCGGUAAAACCGGCAGCUCUAGUGGUAGUCGCUUUUAUUGGGCUUAAAGCAUCCGUAGCCUGUUUGGAAAGUCCUUUGUGAAAUCCUGUUGCUUAACGACAGGACUUGCAGGGGAUACUUCCAGACUUGGAGCCGAAAGGGGCUAGGGGCAUUCCUAGGGUAGCGGUGAAAUGUUAUAAUCCUAGGAGGGUCACCAACGGCGAAGGCACCUAGCUAGAACGGGCUCGACGGUGAGGGAUGUAAGCUCAGGGGAGCAAACAGGAUUAGAUACCCUGGUAGUCCUAGCCGUAAACGAUGCGGACUAAGUGUUUCAUGAUCGUCAGGACCAUGAAGUGUUGAAGGGAAACCGUUAAGUCCGCCGCCUGGAACUACGUCGCAAGGC